GCCCUUGUAGCUCAGUCGGUAGAGCACUUCCUUGGUAAGGAAGAGGUCACCGGUUCGAUUCCGGUCAAGGGCUCCA
rnacentral:tRNA from 1 species